rnacentral:rRNA from 1 species
GAUGAACGCUGGCGGCGUGCCUAAUACAUGCCAGUCGAGCGAACGGACGAGAAGCUUGCUUCUCUGAUGUUAGCGGCGGACGGGUGAGUAACACGUGGAUAACCUACCUAUAAGACUGGGAUAACUUCGGGAAACCGUAGCUAAUACCGGAUAAUAUUUUGAACCGCAUGGUUCAAAAGUGAAAGACGGUUUUGCUGUCACUUAUAGAUGGAUCCGCGCUGCAUUAGCUAGUUGGUAAGGUAACGGCUUACCAAGGCAACGAUGCAUAGCCGACCUGAGAGGGUGCUCGGCAAAACGGGAACUGACACGCGGUCCAGCCCCCUAAGGGGGGCAGCAGUAGGGAAUUUUCCGCAAGGGGGGAAAGCCUGACGGAGCAACGCCGCGGGAGUGAUGAAGGUCUUCGGAUCGUAAAACUCUUUUAUUAGGGAAAAACAUAUGUGUAAGUAACUGUGCACAUCUUGACGGUACCAAAUAAGAAAGCCCCGGCUAACUACGU